rnacentral:rRNA from 1 species
UACGUUCCCGGACCUUGCACACACCGCCCGUCAAGCCAUGGAAGCUGGGUGUACCUAAAGUCAGUAACCGCAAGGAGCUGCCUAGGGUAAACUAGUAACUGGGGCU